AGGGUUCGAUUCUGGCUCAGGAGUGAACGCUGGCGGCGUGCCUAACACAUGCAAGUCGAGCGAUUCUCUUCGGAGAAGAGCGGCGGACGGGUGAGUAACGCGUGGGUAACCUGCCCUAUACACACGGAUAACGUACCGAAAGGUACGCUAAUACGAGAUAAUAUGCUUUAGUCGCAUGGCUGAAGUAUCAAAGCUCCGGCGGUAUAGGAUGGACCCGCGUCUGAUUAGCUAGUUGGUAAGGUAAUGGCUUACCAAGGCGACGAUCAGUAGCCGACCUGAGAGGGUGAUCGGCCACAUUGGAACUGAGACACGGUCCAAACUCCUACGGGAGGCAGCAGUGGGGAAUAUUGCACAAUGGGCGAAAGCCUGAUGCCAGCAACGCCGCGUGAGCGAUGAAGGCCUUCGGGUCGUAAAGCUCUGUCCUCAAGGAAGAUAAUGACGGUACUUGAGGAGGAAGCCCCGGCUAACUACGUGCCAGCCGCCGC
rnacentral:rRNA from 1 species